GGGGAACCUUUAGGAGGAAGAAGCUCACUAGAGGAAGUGGGUCACUUUGGUGGCCCCGCCCCCACUUCCUGUUUGGUUUGCGGCUGACUGGGAGACACCAUAUGACCAGCUGCCUCUCGCCGCUGCCACCACGCCUUCCUUCUUGCGAUAGAACACAGCUCUUCAAUCCCGGAGCCAAAGUGAACCUGCCAUAUUUGUUAAGUCGCUUGUUGCCAGCUAUUUGGUCACAUUGAUGAGAAAAGUGAUACUCUGAGGCCUGGAGAAUCAGUUAAGUGUGCAGGCUGUCGACACCAGUGCCCCUGAGGAAGUUAUAUUAAGCGAAUUUAGGGCCACUGAGUCUUUGAAAACCCUUCGCUGGUCUCACGACGAGCCCCACCCCACCGCUGAGCGGCACGCCCUGCCCCACCGAAGCCCCACCCCCUCUCCGUGGUGUUUUAGAGACAGGAUUUCACUACAUGGCCCGGGGGGCUUGUCUCAAACUCACUGUGCAGCCUAGGCUGACCUCAAACGCAUAGUAAUCCUCCUGUCUCUACCUCCCAAGCGCUCGUAUUAAUAGGUGAACCACCAGACUUGUCCCACUGAGGUUUUUUUUUUUUUUUAGUCAAAGCAGCAAUUUAGAAUCUCUCCUUAGACCUAUUUAGUUGCAAAAGACAGGUAGGAAUCCUUCCUACUUGUUAUGCGCAGGUGGCAGAAAUGCAGAUAUUUACUGUAUUUAUUUCCAGUGCCUUUUUCUGCAUAUGAACUAUUCAUAAUUUCACAAUUUUUUUAAGAGACUCAUUUUGGGGGCUCUGUGGAAAAUAGGGGCCCUCGAGAGUCUAGGAAAGAACCCGUCAGGGAAGUUCCCAUAGGGCAAGGAGGCAUAAGCAAAGGGCGUGGCGUUGGAGGUGGACUCAUGAGGUGCCUUCCAAGGGUGACUUCACACCUGGAGUGACAACCUUGGCACCUGCUGGAGAAGAGGCAUGAGGAGAGAGGGCAGCCCUGGGGGGCUUCGGACAUGGAACUGGAUGGUGAGGUGGUGAGGAGGCUGCUGGGCACAGCAGGGCUGGAUGACCUCAGCUGUGAGGCCCACGGGCCGUUCUCCAUCAGUCUUUGGAGCCAACCCGAAGGACAGACAGAGGGGUGUUGGUUUCUCAGUGUAUGUCACAUGGUCAGGUGAGGAAAACAUAAAGAGAAGCUGCGUUAGUUACCUUUCUCAUCCAAGUGACAAAACCUCUGACGGAAACGCCUCGAAGGAGGGGGGAAAGCUGCAUUUGGCUUAUUGUUUCAGAGGUCACCAGGCCAUCGUGAGAGUAUGAGGUGGAGGCAUUGGCUGCAGGGCUGGCUCGGCCUGUGGCAUCCAGACUGGGAGAAUCAUGUUCACAUGGAGGUCUACCAGGAAGCAAAGAGCAUCGAGCUGCGUGAAACCUUCAGACACCGCCUCUCCUGACCUCCUGAAGGUUCCACAGCUCUCACAAGCGUGCUCAGGCUCAGUGAGAUGGCUCGGUGGGUAAAGGUGCUUGCAGCCAAGCCCGAUGGCUGAGUUUGAUUCCCCAGAACACCUGUAGAGGAAGAAGUGAUUCCCUACAAGUGCUCUGACCUUUACAAGGCAAGUGAUGCCUGCAACCCACAGCUGUGUCUUAGCCGGAUCUCUCCGUGAGCCUGGGAGAAUGAGGGACUCAACUGUCUCGUUUCCCUUUUCUCUGUCCUCGAGUCUGCAACGUGAGUAGACUUUCUACGUGCCACCUAGUGAUAAAGCUCUUUCUUAACCUGUCAUUAUCUCUGUGUAACUACCUGAAUUUAGAGAAUUUAUAUUUGUCAUGCAUAUAAAAUAACACAUGCUCACUGUAGCAAAUCCGGAAAAGGCAGACGUGUUCAAAGAAAAUUAAAUUCACCCAUAAUUUUACCACCCACAGAUAACCGCCAUUAUUAACAGCUUGGUGUAUUUUACUCCAUUUUCUUUGCUCUACAUGUAUGUAUAAUUUAUAAACUUUCUACAAAUGUACCUUAAUCUGCAUGCAUUUACAUAGAGUAGGCUAUGCUACAAGAAUAAAAAUGACCCCGAGUUUUCUCCCGUUUAACACAUCUGCUCAUUGGUUGCUCCUGUAUAGGUGCUUGGGUUUGCAGAGUGGCUCGGCCCUACAGCAUCACUCAGGAGCCUGAACUCCUUCCAUCUCUUGGCUCCAUCCUUCCUUGGGAGUGUGUUGCUGUCUCUAACCAGUUACCAAAAAGAGGAAUAGCAUGGAGGAGGCCUGCUCACUUGCUGAGAAGCUUUCAUUUGGAAAGGCCACACAUGGCUUCUGCUCAUGUUCCAUUGGGAUAGCGUAGACACAUGUUCCCACUUCACAGCAAAGGAAGCUGGGAACUGUAGCUCAGCCGUAAAGGAAGCUGGGAACUGUAGCUCAGCCGUAAAGGAAGCUGGGAACUGUAGCUCAGCCGUAAAGGAAGCUGGGAACUGUAGCUCAGCCGUAUGGCUGGCUGUGCUGCCCUCUGUUAAAAGAGGAGAAGGAUCUGGGCAGAUGUG